rnacentral:lncRNA from 1 species
UUUUUUUUUUUUUUUGUAAAAAAAUGGUGAAAAUACAUCAAGAUAAGCAAGUGGGAAAAAAAGAAGAAAAAGAGACAAAGAUAAGCAAGUGAAAUUUAUCUUUGAAUCGUAAGGUAAAAACAAGGAAAUAAACAAGCAUCACUCGCCUUUUAUUUUCCAGUUCUUUUUUAUUUUUGUUUUUACCUUUAAUUAAACUUGUAGGGCCCUGCGUCUUUAAUUUAUGGUACUUUAGAUAGGGGGACAUGAGUUGCAGCACAUUCAACCUUCAAUUAGAUUUUUCAAAUUUUGAACUGCAGUUAAAUCUUCUCUUACCAAAUUCAAGAUCCAAAACGGGCCUAUACUCCCAUACGAAAACAGGCGCAGUUGGUUGGUAUAUUACUUCCAGCAUUAAAAAAUGCAGGCACGUAUUAAUCCAAGAAACUGCAGGCAAUUCUCGUUCUGACUGAUCUUUUUCGGCAACGGUAAUCCAAGAAACUUCUAAUUCAAGCCCGCAGCUUUGUACUGAAAUAUGUUUCUUCCACGCCAUUUUACAGCUUCUUUGGUAAUUGAAAACCAGGAAUUCAGCAACAAUAAUACACUUCGUAAUGGAGAUAGUUACAAAAGAAAAGAAAAGAAAGCAACCCAUUAUCGUGGACUUGACACCUCAAGUCCUCGCCUUCACGUAGCCCUUAUCUUUCUUGCAAGUAACACAAAAAAUUGGCCUUUGCUGUCUAAUCUUGUGGGUCAAACAAAACCUGCAGCAUUUCAGCCUACUUCCUGAUUCCCUUUUUCCUGCUUUUACUCUCUUUUAACACCGACACGAACUUCUAGGCAAUUGAUCACGUUCCAAAUUACAUGGGUUUUGUACUUGAAAGGGACGGAAAAGGCCGUGAGUCAGAUACUCAAGAUCGUGUUCAUAUUAAUCUGAAGAAAAUUUAACAAAGAAAGAUUCCACAAGCAAAUGAUUAAGCAUCACUCUAUUUGUCUUCAAUAAUGUGCUGUCAACACAGAUUUUGUUAUGUCUUAGGACACGGUGGAGUGCUAGCUCCACCAACUGAGGCAAUGAUUAACCACUUCCUUUUUGUUUCCAAACCCCCUCUUUAGCUACUCGAUCAUUCCUCCUCCUAAAAGUCCCUAAAAAGCUGUUUAGCAAGACUAUAAAACUCCCUAAAAAUCUUGAAUCUUGCUUUUGAUCAUCAAGAUUCAACGUCUAAAAUCUUGACGUGUUUUGAAUCAUAGAUAUGGACGGGAAAUAAAACAAUUGCCAAAACAAUUUCGGCAGCCUAAAUGGCCUAUAUAAAUGACUGAAAACCACAUAGCAGUCAAACACAUUAAUAGUAUUAUUAUUUUUUGCUUAAGAUUAGUAGUAUUCAGGUUAAGUUUAAUGUAUUGGGAUAUGGCGUUGGCCAAAUGAGAUUUACCAUACCGUACAGUUCUUGAAUGGAAGGAAAUAGAGGCAGAUGAUAAUGGAGAUGUAAUGUGCCAAUUAAUUCAUCUUAGUUGCUUGGUCGAGUCAAGUCUACUAGUUCUAUUUUUAUUCAACCAGUCUUGGUAAACUCGUACAUGAGCUUUGAAAAUAGAAAUAGAAAGAGGAAUAGUAGUUAUUCUAGCAAAAAAGUGCUUCAAUUUCUGCGAAUUUUACCGUGUGAAAUGUGAAUAUGCUGCUUCGUUUACUUAUACAGGAGUACUUGUUUUCGUGUGAUACUGCUAUACUAGCUUGUUUGCUUGGUUCUUUUCCUACUUUGUAUUCGGCAGCUCUUCCAAUAACUUGUCAUCCAUUUUCUAUGCAUGAGAAUCACGAAAUGACAAAUAUAAAACUCUGUUAUAGUGUUCUUACAGUCAAUGAAGGGGACUCAGACAAUGAAUUCUUUUACAUUAAGUUGUCAAUUUCCUACAGCAACCGGCAUCCCAACUGACAUUGAUGCGGGUUACCUAGUCAAUUCCUCUUAUUAAGAAAUACCCAGAAGUUUGACUAGUUCCUUUUAAUUUCUUUUUCAGGCAUCAAGUAUCCAAGGUUCAACAUGGAGAGGGUUGAGUUGGAUUGGGUGGUUAAAAAAUAUACCAUUUCCGUGAAGGUAAUUAGAAGGGAGUGUUGAAUCUCCUCAAUGAGAAACAAAGGUGUGAAAUUAUUGGAUUAAACUAUCUUAAAAACAUGAGGAGAUAUUAAUUGCUAUUUAUAUGGAUUGAACUCUAAUAGCUCGCCCAUAUAAUUGGUUUAUAUUAUUGUUUUCUAGCUUUGACGUAAACUUUCUCUGAAUUAAUGAUGAAGUGUGAACCAUAACUUGAAGCGUGAGUGGCUAAAUAGAGUGUGAAGAUAGAAAGAUAACCUUCUUUCUUGUCGUCUUCUUCUUUGAAUAUAUGCGAAUGGUUUUCGACUAUUACAGUCCAUUAGCACUUGCAAGCGCCUCCUACACUCCAGAGUAGAAAACAGAUUUAGAGAUGCAAAUGAGUGGAACUUAAUCGAAUAACUCGCGGAUUUGCUCGAUCAAAGCUCGAGGUCGAACUUAAGUUGAUCGAGUUCGAACAGUUCGAAUUAUUUGAUGAAUCAAGUUCAGACUUAAUACAUGAAGGUUGAAAGCUAGUCGAACUUAAUCAAACACAACUGAGCUUCACACAAGUAUAUUUUAUAUUUAUUAGUAUAAAAUAUCUAUUUUGUCCCUUUAUUUAAAAUAAUACAAAAUAUAAAUUUAUAUUUGUUAAAUUCGAUUAAACUCAAUUAAGUUCGACUGAAUUCAAAUAAAACUUGAUUCGAUAAGCUCGAGUUCGAGUUCGAAUAAUACAAAAUAAAAUCGGAUUCAAACUCGAACUAUGAUUCAAUUUUUUUUAACUCGAGUCGAAUUUAAGUAGUGUGCUGCUCGAGCGACUCAAGUUUGCACUCAUAGUUUCACCAUAUAUUUUUAAUAUAUAAGAAGUUAAAUCUAUACUUAUACGUGUAAUUUAUUGUAAUUAAGAGCAAUGAAAUGUGAAUUUGGAUUUAAUAUCACGGCUAAUGUUUCUCGAGCUCUCGUUGUCAAUCUUUUUUAUUUUUUUUUCGACAACGAUAAUAUUUGUGUAAUUUAAUCUAUCAUAUUUUAGAGAAAGGGGAGCCUAAAGAGACUGUGUAAGAGACUAACAGACAUGCUGCAGAUCUGACUAGACCCAAGUAACACAGCUAAAGAGCUCUCGUUGUCAAUCAUUGUAGUGGAACGCGAAAACUUUGGGAUUGAGCCAACUUGAUCGUACUGCAGAUUUUUGAAGGAGUCGUAAAGAGACCUGGUCAAUUCUUAUAUGUCGACAAUUAGUGAUCCAAAUGCAGCAAUUUGAGAGUUGAAACUUAAGGUUGUGUUUGGAUUGCAUUUUCCGUCAUUUUUCAUGGAAAAAUUACUGUAGCGAUUUGAUAUAUGUGAGGGAAAAAGGUGAUAGGGAAAUGUGAUCACGGAAAACGAUAAUAUUUUCCGACGAAAACCUUCAAUCCAAGCAAGGCCUAAGGUAAUACACUUUCUCAUUAUUGAACGAUAUCUGAUGAUCAAACACGGUAGUCCAGAGGGGGAUUACCUGUUAGCAGGGACGGGAUAAUUUGUCAUCAGUUAUUGUUUUAUGGGAAAAAAAAAUCAUUUGACAAAAACUCAUCACAUUAAAGAUGAACCCCAAAAAGAAAAAAAAAAAAAAAAAAGCACACAACAAUUAUCUCGAAAAAGAGAAGCCAACAAGUGUACAAAAGUAGAAUAAUGGAAGAUGGGACACAUUCAGCAAAUUAUUACAUCAACCCAAUACUUUUUACAUGGACACAUUCAGCAAAUUAUUCUGUUGUCCUGCUAAACAUUUUUCCCAUUGCAUAUUUCAUUCCAUUCAUUAGAAAGUAAUAAAAAAUCGAAGCAAAAGAAUCCAGACUGAACACUUUGAAGGGCUCACUCAUCUUUCUUGGUCAUGAAGUCAAUGGUCAUGUUGAAAACCCUUCAAAAAUUAAGCAAAAGGUCAAAUUUAUUACCAAAAAUAAUUGACUUGGUCCUAAGGUAUAAAAUGGAGAUACCUCAAGAAUAUUACCCCAUUUAUCCGCAUGUUAUUUAGAAGUUUUUCGAACACGAAAAAGCUAUACUAAAAUGGGUAAGCAUCCUAAAUUUCAACUCCAUCCUUUUUUUUUUUGAAAAAAAAAUUUCCCCCAUACCUUUUUCCGGCUUCAAGAAAGAAAACAACUACAUCUGAUUGUAUUUUAUGUUAUUGAUAAGAUUAUCGAACAGGACACAAGAGGGUCUUGAUUAAAUUAAUUGUAAAAUAUCGAACUAACCCUCUUCUUAGCAGCUGCUGGGGACGGUUGGUUCGUUUCACUCCAUUUUCCUAAUUCACACACGAGAAUUAAGAAUGUAAUGCAGUAUACAUACAAAGCAAAUUUUUUUUUUUAAAAAAAGAAAUACAAUAUUAAAGUUGUUAACAAAAUUCAAACAUAAACAAAAUUCUGAGUUCAAAUUUGAUGUGCAUAAUUUUGCAAUUGAAACAUCGGUUGCAAAUUUUUAAGCUAAGUUGAAAAUAUUUUUCUUUUCUGUAAGAAAAAUGUUGUCAAUACAUGUGGAAUAUAAAAGUCAAAGAAGAAAUGAAUAAAGAUUAAGAAAUUUGGUCGAAUUCAAUAGUAAUUAUAAAAAACUUUUAAGUACUACUAAUAUCUUGCAAAGAAAAGAAAAGAUGAAACUUGACUGUAAAAAAAAAAUGAAUCUUAUAUGCACCGUUAAUGUAUACACGGUUUAAAAUGAUCUCCUCACAAGUAUUAGUUAAUGAAUGCAUUACCAAAUUUAAAACAUGGUAUUAAUCCACUCAACCCUUUGAUAAAUACUCCCUCCGUCCCACUUUUAUAGUCCUGUUUUCCUUUUUCGUCUGUCCCAAAUUAUAGUCCACUUUCUAAUUGAAGAAUGUAGUUGUAUUUUAAUUUUCCUAAAAUAUCCUUAUUCAAUGUAAGUUGUUGUUACUAUAAACCUACCCCAUUUAAUGAGAGUUGAUUCUUUUUUUACUAUCAAUUCAAGUUCCCAUAAAGUUGUACUCUAAUUAAUGUGAGGGUAUUUUAGGAAAAUAACUAAUUAAAUUGAUUGUUCCAACAAAGUUAACUAUUUUUUAUUAAACUGUGUGAAAAAAGAAUCAGGACUAAGUGGAACGGAGGGAGUAAUUGAUAUCCCCACCCACAUUUAAGAACCCAUGCUUUUCCUUUAAAAAAAAAAAGAAAAAAAAAAGAACCCAUGCUGCAAAUAAAAACAUGUCUCUUGACUUGACAUGAGUCCGAUAUUUAGAUGAGAUUUCAGGUCAUAUCAAUAAGUAUACAACUACUCCUAUAUUUUCCUUUUAUUUUUUGGGUGGUAAUCCAAGUAACAUAAAAAAACAUAAAAGUUUGAGCUGGUAAUCAAAAGCCAAAAGUAAUUAAAUCAUACUAUUUUUCCUAUAUCUAGCUAUUUUUUUAUUUUGAUAAAGGUAAUUUUCUGUAUGUUUGUUUUAAAUUUAUAGCAAGAUGGAAAUAAGAGCUCCAAAAUUUUUUUUUUUUCUUAGUCCAAAUUUCCAAAUUGAUACAGAUAGACAAUGGGAAGCAAAUCCAAUGAGCGUUUUUGCCAACGCCAACUCUUCAUCCCUGGCCCUUAGCCCGACUUCGCAGCUCCCUCCAAUUUCUCUCUCAUGACCGUCUUCCUUCCAAAAGUCUCUUUUGACCAUCGACACCACCAUCACCACGUCUCCCUCUCCUUCUUCCCUUCUUCCUCCAAACUUUCCUCCUGUAACCUGAUUAUUUUAUUAUCACCAUUUCACAUUUCUUCCCUUUCAUAUAUAUAUAUAUAUAUAUAUAUACACACACACACACACACCUUUUUUGCCUACAUUUCCACCUAUAUAUGUUGAUCAAUACUCAUCUUUCUUUGAAUUUCUUUUUCUUGGUCUUAUUCUCUGUCCUUUGAAUCCUUAAAACCCAUUGAAAGGAUUGGAUAACGAAAAGGUGGGAUUGAAGAAAAAGGCAGGAUUUUUAUUUAUUUAUUUGCUGAAAAUGGGUAGCUGCUUUUCAACCACCAAGGUGAGUGGUUCUAACAGCAACACCCCGACCACCACCACCACCACCACCGUGAGCCACCAGCAGCAGAAUAGGAAGGUGUCCACCAAGGCAACCACCUCAGGUAAUAACUCAGUGGCCUCAAAAGAACAGGAGUUGCAUUAUAAAGGAAAAGGAAGCCAUCCUAAUCAGCAGAAACAGAAGAAUACAGAGCAGGGCAAAAAGCCCAGUUCUAGAAGGCAAGGAGGGGUUAUCCCUUGUGGAAAAAGAACAGAUUUUGGGUAUGAUAAGGAUUUCGAUAGGAGGUAUACGCUUGGGAAAUUAUUGGGUCAUGGUCAAUUUGGGUAUACAUAUGUUGGCACAGAUAAGUCUAAUGGCGAUCGUGUGGCGGUUAAGAGAAUUGAGAAGAACAAGGUAACCUUUUAUUUUCUUUACUUUUUUUUUUGGGGGGAUUGGGGGAGGGGGGGGGGUUGUUGUUGGCUUCGGCUUGGUGAUAGAUAUUUAUGGUCUUAUUUUCCUUUGCCUUAUCAUUUUUCCUUGAAAUGAUAUAAUUAGAGACUUCAUUUUCGCUGUUUGAUUAGUACAGUCAGCUGCUUGAUUUGAUUGAUUUGAGUUCAUAUUCUCUCCAAUAAAUGGUUUAUUUUAGAGACUGUGUUAGCAUCUUCUGAUCUUUCAGAGAAAGUUGGAUCCUUUUGGUUAUCGGAAUCAAGGAUACCUUGAAACAUCCUUAUAAGUUCAUGAUGAAAUAUUCACCAGUGGAAGUUGGGAUACCAUACGUUCUAGAAGGGUAUACUGCUACGUCCUUUGGGAUUCUGCUCCUUUCUUGAUGAUUUGAGGAGUAUCUACUGUUUUGGUUGGCUCAAUGGUCAAACUUUAUUCUUCUGCUCAUUGCCAUUUAGUUGGUGAUGUUGAUGAUUAUGUUGUAAUUGGAGUAUUUACUUAGAAUGAAGUCAGUUAUAGUGAAGGUUUUUACGAUUUUCAUUAGUAUUUCCCUAAAUGAAAAAUCAGCAGUUGGUUAAAUAGUCGUGGAUUAGUUGAUUAACCCAGGGGAAAAAGGCUCUGAGAUACUGCAUGGUUUUGUGUGCUGAGGUGCUUCCUACUGGUGUUGGAACAACAUAAGCUGGACUGGGUUGAAAUUUGAUAAAAAUAAGUGUGAAUGUGCUUGCCAUGGAUGAUGACCUUCUUGGCUUGCUGUUUAUUGGCUACACAAUGUUUCAUAGCAGAAGGAAGCGCUAUUUAUUCAUGAUGUUAGCAGAUAUUUGAGAUUUUUUUCCUUUUUGGCAGAAAUUUGCGUAGAUUCCAUUUAGUGGAUAAUAUCUCCCGCAAAAAUAAAGUUCUUGUAUGGGAAAGGAACGAAUAGAAAGAGCAGUUAUCUUAAUGUAUUUUUUCUGAUUCCAUGGCAGAGUGAAGCAGGAGAAGACUAGGAAAAUCGUGUCAGCAAUGAAGACGUAUUCUUAUCAUGCUGUAGAAUCUCUGAAAAUGGCAGUUAGUUAGUUAAUUGUAUGAGGACCUCAAAGCUAGAAUAAUUUCAGCUGUAGUAAAAGAAUAUUCUAUUCAAAUGAGAACCUUAAUUCCUGGUAGUUUUCUGCUGCAUGAUGUUUCAUGAGUCAAGCAGGUUUACACAACAAUGUCUAUUUGUGGAUGUGAAUAUGGUGAUCCAGAACUUAAGGAACCCCUCUUUGCUUUGUAUGGGUUUAAAACGAAUAAUCAAAAAGGGAUAUGCUUCUUUUCUAUGCACAUUGGUCAUGUGACGUGCUUGAUAUCUUCCUGAAUGUGCAUCCACCAACACAUAUGUUUUAGAGUCAACAGUGCUUUUAUUUUUGAAAUUUAAUGAGCUUUGGGCACCAUUUUGUACUCUGAAAUCAACUGAUGCAUUUUUCUUAGAUGGUUCUUCCAAUUGCUGUUGAAGAUGUCAAACGAGAAGUAAGGAUAUUAAAAGCUUUAGCUGGCCAUGAGAAUGUUGUGCAAUUCUAUAAUGCAUUUGAGGAUGAUUCUUACGUAUAUAUAGUGAUGGAGUAAGUUUUAUUUUGGAGCAGUAUUUUACACGGAAGUUUUUCUUUCUUUUUUCUCCCUGGUAGUAAUGUUAGUUAACCGAGUUCUUGAUUUUUAUUGAUUUUAGGUUGUGUGAAGGUGGAGAAUUACUGGAUCGUAUUUUGUCCAAGUAAGCAUCGUGAACUAUUUAAACAUGAUUGUAGUUGAACCGGCUAUGCUAUAUAAAAUGCAUUCUUGAUUAAGAAAGAUGAGUGUAGGACUUAACCAAGAAUUUCUUCUGAUCAGAAAAGACAGCCGAUAUACUGAGAAAGAUGCUGCAAUAGUAGUACGUCAGAUGCUAAAAGUUGCUGCUGAGUGUCAUUUACAUGGUUUGGUACACCGUGAUAUGAAGCCAGAGGUAUUUGAAAGUUGCUAAUUACCUGUCUGGUCCUAUGCCAUGUGAUGUUGCUGCAGCUUCUUAUUCAUUAUUGUCUCUUUUAGAACUUUCUUUUCAAGUCACCAAAGGUGGAUUCAUCCUUGAAAGCAACAGAUUUUGGUCUUUCUGACUUCAUCAGACCAGGUGAUUAGAUGUUCUUUUAUUUUUUAUUCAAAGUUCAAGAUCUUAUGUUUCUUGUUUCCCCUCGGAAUAAAAAAUCCAAUUACAAUACUGUCUGAUGUACUUUCCUUUAGUUCUUUUUCUAAUCAGAGCUUUGAUGGUCGAAGCUGGGUGGGACACUGAUACGUAUUUUUCCAAAUUUUUUGGCUUCUUUCAUGCAUAUAUUGCUUAGAUACUCUUUUUACUUUUGGCUCAGUUCGAGUUUCUGGGUGUGGGGGUUGAAUUAAAUUUACAAUGUCCUAUAAGUACAGAAAAGUUCUAGUAUAUAAUGCAAAAACUGUCUUUGUCUUAAUUUUCUAUAUGCUUGGUAGCAUCUGGAAGAUUUAUAUGUACAUUCGUUGUUUCGUUGUUUCCUUUUGUUUAAAAAAUUUAGAUUUGGUUAUUUGUUUAGUAUAUCACCUAAUCGACUAAUGAUCAAAUCCAGGGAAGAAAUUUCAAGACAUUGUUGGUAGCGCGUAUUAUGUUGCUCCAGAAGUACUGAAGCGCAGAUCGGGUCCUGAAUCAGAUGUAUGGAGCAUUGGCGUUAUAACAUACAUUCUACUCUGUGGGAGGCGCCCCUUCUGGGACAAAACUGAGGAUGGCAUAUUUAAGGAGGUAAGGAUGCUGCAAUAUUUGCUAUCUCUUUCUGUGGAAUUGAAACUCAUAUCAAUGAUAUCUCGACUUUAUCCACCUUUAAUACAGGUGUUAUAUAAAAAGUCUCAAGAAUCUGGUUAAGUGGAAUGAAAGCUCCCUCUUAUUUCAUUUUACUUUUUCUACAAGCCUAGUCUUUCCCGAGCCACAUCCAUAGAUCAUAUUCCUCUGAAGCUUAUUUGCUUCUCUCUCUCUCUCUCUGUCUUUUUUAGUUGAUUUUUUAUUCCUUCUUGCUUUCUGCUUCCACAAGAGAAGAUUUUUACAUCGAAUUAUUAGUUUUUUAAGGAAUAUUAGUAUUGUUGGCUUUACAACAUUUUUCUCUAAUUUAUGCUUUGUUAUAUUUUUGACAAUUAUAUGUGCUAUAUUUGUUGUUACAUGGCAUGUAACUGUAGAGUCUAAUACUUUCAGGUUCUCAGGAAUAAACCUGAUUUUCGUCGUAAACCGUGGCCAAGCAUAAGCAACAGUGCUAGAGACUUUGUAAAGAAAUUACUGGUGAAGGAUCCUCGUGCCAGACUUACAGCUGCUCAAGCAUUAUGUAUGUACUUUUAUUCUGAUUUUAAAAGUUUGUGAGCUUCCUGUAAUGCAUUUUCAUAGAUAAGAAAACUUGAGAACAAAAGUUCCAUUAUUUAUCAUUGGCAGAAGACAUAAAGCUGAUCAAUGUAGAAUUGAUUGGAAUCAAUUUUAGUGCAUGCCUAUCCCGUUUCACCUCCCUAUCAACAAAUUUAUAGACCAAUAUCAAAAAAAAUGUUUUGGCCCUUUUUUUUGUGGGGCGGGGGAGGAAGUGGGGGUUGGGAUGAAGAAUGUGCUGCUUCAGUUUUUUAACUUUUCAGAUUCUUCUGUUGACCUUUCUUUGUGACAUUUUUGAAAAACAAACACUAUAGUCAACCUUUAUUCAUGUAAAAUACUGCAACUGCAACUUAUGAGAAUUAGUGGCACAAAAUGGGGUCUCAGUUCUGAUGCUGUAGGUAGAUGGUGUCACAACUUGUGUAUUGUUCUUAUUGCUUGCAUAAUCGCUAGUUAGUACAAUCUACAGCUCUAUUGAGCUUUAUAGUCAUAGCGUUGUAGUUUCAUUCACUUGGAUUUGGGUACCUAGAGAUUGAAAGUCAUACUUUAGUUUACGUAGGUCUUUUGGUAUCUUAUUAUGGAUAUGUUAUUGAUGAUUGAGCUUAGCUUGUGUUCUACUGUCGUUCUUGAAUGCAUUCUUGCAUAUGCACUUUUACACAUAUAAGUCGCGUAUUCAGGUUAUCUCCAGAAGAGAAUAAUGAAAAAACAAAAUCAAGAUUUUCAAUGUUACCUUGUAAACCAUCUUUUAGAUGACAGGAUAACAAGUAGAUUCUUGUCGAAUAAGCUUAAGGUAGUGCCCUGACAUAUGAUAGUAUGGGGCACAAUGCAACUGUACGAGUUCUCGGUUUAAUCCUAUCUCAUCCCAAACUCUAGAUAAUGGAUAGCAGUCAUUGAGUUUAACUUUUUGUUUAUUUUGCGUGGUGCUGAAGAAAUAUGACGAGCACUAAUAAUCAUUUGAACAUUUUUGCACCAAAUAUCACAGCAUAAGAUUCUAUUUGAGACAAACAAGUGUGCUUUUCUGAAUUUUUGGCUUGGGAAAGUCAAAACUGGAAACUUUAGUGGGCAUUGAGAUAAUCAACAUUUUGUCACCAAGUACAUUUGUUGUGCGUCUUUUGCACUGUAAGAUAAUCUACUGACCUUAACCAAUUUUUCCAGCUCAUCCCUGGGUUCGAGAAGGAGGUGAUGCAUCGGAGAUACCAGUUGAUAUUUCUGUUCUCUCCAACAUGCGGCAAUUUGUAAAGUACAGUCGUCUAAAACAGUUUGCACUAAGGGUAAGUCUCUUCUUGUCUCUUUAUGAUUGUGUCAGAACCUAUAAUGACCAACUCGAAAUGCACGUCUUAUUAUGAGGGUCUUUUAUUGCUUUCCAGGCUUUGGCUAGCACACUUGAUGAGGAGGAAUUGGCUGAUCUCCGCGAUCAGUUUCAUGCAAUUGACGUGGACAAAAAUGGAUCUAUAAGUCUUGAAGAAAUGAGACAGGUAUGUGCUUUGCAAGAGGAGGCAGAGAGGUUGUCCUUAUAUUUCCUUACUAUUAUCAGUCUGAUUAGCUUUAUCAUAAAAGUUGCUUUAAAAGGUUCUUCCUUAGAAAUUUUUAUGCACUAGAUUAUCUUAUAUUUCUUUCCUCAUUCAUAACUUCUUCAAUUUCAACACAGGCCCUUGCCAAAGAUCUUCCUUGGAAAAUGAAGGAUUCACGUGUUCUUGAGAUUCUUCAAGCAGUAAGCCUGUUGACUUUGAUUUAUGGUAGCGAAUAGCGGAAUUUAUUGACGCAGAAAAUUUCCAUAAUUUUAACUUUUCUGUUGCUAGUAAAUCUACUAGUGCAAGAUCCUUCCCGCAUACGUAUCAAACAGCUAAACAGAUAAAGGAUCGGGAACCAAAUGGUUGAUAGUUGUGGGAUGGUCUCAUUUUAAUCUAGAUAAUUAAGCAUACAUGCAUGAAUAAGUAUAAAACUAGCUUCAAAAGGAAUGCUUUUUGUUUGCUCAUUGUUGUUUUAAGAAAUUUAGCCCAUUAGUCCAUGUUUCAGAAUUUGGUGUUCUUCUACUACCACACAUGCUUACUUUUGUUGUGAUUGUUAUUGCUCUUCUGUGAUGUUGAUUGAUAAUCCAGCUUGUUCUCAUCAUCUGGAGCAGGUAGAUAGCAACGCUGAUGGGCUUGUGGACUUCUCAGAAUUUGUUGCGGCCACUUUACAUGUCCAUCAGCUGGAGGAGCAUAAUUCAGAGAAGUGGCAACAGAGAUCACAGGCUGCUUUUGACAAGUUUGAUGUUGACAAGGAUGGAUACAUAACACCAGAUGAACUCAAAAUGGUCAGCGUUUUAUGGUGUAACCUAUUAAGUGACUAAUGCUGUUAUUCUCUCAAUUGAGCAUAAAUCCAGAAUGGAAGAUUGAAUCUUAUGUUGCUUUGUCUGCUGCUUUCUAUUACGUCUAUUUGCAUUUGCUGCCAUAUUGCCUUGGACAAAAGUAGCAUGUGUUUAUCCAUGGUUUUAAUUGCUUCCUGGAAGCAAAGUUUGAGAGCAAAACAUUUCUUUUAUACUUUGUUCAAGCUGCUGCGACCUUUGGUGUCAAAAACAAAGAAUGUCUAACAUGCUUGUAUGCAAGUAAGUGGAUGUCUAUUUGAUUUGUUGUUCGUUCGCUAACAUGAUAUUUGUUGGCUUGCAGCACACGGGUUUACGAGGCUCUAUAGACCCACUCUUAGAGGAAGCGGAUAUCGACAAAGACGGAAAGAUAAGCUUAGCAGAAUUUCGUAGACUGUUGAGAACUGCUAGUAUGAGCUCACGAGUUGUCAGUAGCCCAACUGUAAAUAAAGUUCCGCGGAAGUUAAUAGCUUAAUACAGUUUUGCAUCUUUUGGUCUAAUUGAGGAUGUCAAAACAGUUGGAUUUCAUCUCACUUGUUAAAAAUUGUUCGGCAAAUCAAUAUUUUACGUGUUCGCUCUCGCUCUCAUGCUUUUGGAAGGUAGUUGUUAGAGGGACGUAUACAAAGUAUCAUUUGAAGGGCACCCCAUGUAAAGCUGAUUUGGCCUUCCAAAAGAAAAAUCGGCUAGGUGUGAGGUGUAUCUUUCCUGUACAUUAUAUUUGUUAGCGUUAUGAAGCACCGCUGCUUCCCGCAUGAUGUAUCAUAUGGUGGUAAAUUACUCAAUAAGAUAUGAUAUGGUUGUCCAUGAACUGGGUACUACUGGCAUGAGGUUUGUGUAUUCGAGGAAAUUGUUGCCUUUUGAAUCUCUAGCUCUCUCUUGAUGUUCAAUUUAACCUUCGAAUUACAUCUGUUUUACUGGUUCAUAAUUUUCUUCUUAUCCCAGAACCCGUAUAAAAGUAAAUUUAAAGCAGAGGGGUUCUAAGAACUAGGAUUACUGGGAUAACAAAUCUAAACCCCUCUUGAAAUGGGAAACACUGAAGUCAUUGGACCAAAAAUGAUUGAUAGUCAAAUGAUUCCAAAAUUCACGUACACACACACACUUAUCUCUAAACUAAGUUGGAAAUAUGUAAUUGAUCUCACAAUUGAAUCAUCCAGGAAAUGACUUCUCCCAGGGUAGAAAAAGAAUUAAAGAAACAUUUCUGCUUGCGUGUGGUGUUCAGUGAUGAAAAAUCUUUAUUUCGUGGUGCUAUAAUCAUUACUUCAUCGGGCAUUUGAUAACAUAACUAAAAUAUAUAACUAAAGCAAUAAAUAAGCACAUUGCUGGAAAUCCAUUCAUGUAAGAUAACAUAAGUCUAAUAUUCAUGAACUAGAGUUUCUAACAAGCUUGUCUUUAGCUAAAGAUGUCCAGCAAAUUGCUAAGACUACAGCUUCAUUUCUAGCCUCAUAUAUUUGUAUCUGAAGACUCAGCUGUGUAGGACUCGGACUAGAAGAUCACUGGGGAAAGAACAGGCUACCACAACAUACAUAUAUGCAGGCUAUGGGGCUCAUGAUAUUUAACACAGUGAAAUAUUGAUGACAGUGCUUGGGGACCUUCAGAGGAAAGAACACUUCCUCAAAUAAUUGGCUAGUCCCUCAGUGGUCGCUUGCCCUUGUCUCGAGGCAAUGGCUGUAUCAUGAAAAAGCAGUUUAUGUUUCAGAUUAAAGAUGUUUCAGGUUUUGACAUUUAUGCACUACCAUAAAGUUGUAGAUAUUAUGUAACACAAACCUUCUGAGCUGUAGAUCCUGGAAUUGCAAGCUCCAAAUCAGUUACCAUAUCAGGAAUAUCACCACUUUUCUCACCAUUACCACUUCUGUCUUGACCAGAUGAUCCAUUUCUGGCAAUUUCCUUGCCAAAAAUGCAAGGUGUUGAAGCAUUCCUGGAAGAUGGCUUAUUGAUGUGCGGAGUUGCAGCAGCUGAACGCAGGAUCAUCAUCACACCAGGAUCAGAUGGGACAGCAGAUUGAUUUGCCAAAAAGGGCUUUGGAUGCAGAGAUGGAGUAUGCCUUGGAUAUGGACCAGAGGAGACAGAUUGAGCAACUGGAUAUGAAAAUGCACAAGCCAUGACAGCUGAAGGAUCAAUUGCAGAUCUUGGAAACAUGGAUCUAUGUCUUUGCUGGCGUUGCACUUCAAAAGCCCCAACAUCAAAUUGCAGAGAAGUCUUUUCUCUUAACUCUUUGUUCUCCUUUGCAAGCUUAUUCAAGAACAACACUUUAGUUGACAGCAAUUUAAGGAUGUUUAAAUCCAUGAACAACACUGUUAGAAGUCAUUACCUUUUUAAUAUCUUGAAGAAUUGCUGCUUGUUCAGACUGUAGUCUGCUGACUUCAGAAGCUAAAUCUUUCAGUGCUUGGAUUGGGCUGAUAACGAUCGUUGCCUCGUCAUUCUUGAGCCUAACUGAAUCUGUAUCUAUUUAUCAACAAGACACGCUACAUAUGUUAAGGUAUAAAAAUGCUUCAAAUUCUAAUCUACACAGAAAGCGUACCAACCAUGGGAUUAUUGUCCAAGGUCCACGGAUGUAAAAACCAUAUAUGAAGUCAAUCUUCAAUUACUCAACAAUGAUUUGGCCCAGUCCAAAUUGAAUUAUCCCAAUACAAAUUUUUAGAAUGUCCAUAAAACUAUGCUUAGAGGAAUUCAAAGGCAUGUUCAGACGUGCUAAAAUGAAGAAGAAAAGUUGUACGAUAAUUUGAUUAAUCAAUCAAUUUAAUAUGCACAUUUAUGCUAAAGUAAUGGUGCUACUGCCUGUUGACAUGGUAUCCUUCAUCUAAUCAUACUCCCAAGUAUUGAACUGCAAAGAAAAGGAGAACAUCUGCUUCACCAUGGAACAGGAUAUAGAAGCUCUUUAUUUUGAUGAAUGAACAUAAACACUUGCAUGAGUGCUACAGUUUCAGGAAACUUUGUCCACGACGUUAGCACUUUGCAGGUUGAAAGAAUAAACUUGAAACAUCUUAUGAGUUUAGGGAAGAAGACAUGCUCUAAGGAUGCAAAGUCUUCUUAAAAAUGAAGGAAGAGGUUUAGAAACACUUUACCUAGUAUAUUUCCCAACUCUUGAAAAUGCUCAUUAAGCUCAUUUCUUCUCAACUUUUUGCCAUGUGCUUGGUGCCUUGUUUUUGCAACCACUGCACCGUUCGAAUCUAAAUCAUCCUCUUGCCUGCAAAAAUGUGAGUUGAAAUAUAAAGAGAAUGAUGAAUAAAUUGAUUCUUGAUACAAAACCUAGAAGUGACUGCAACAUGUCCAGAUUUAGAGCUGAAGAUUUCCACAUGGAAAAAGCGCAAUCCAAUGUGCUUUAGAAAAGACCAGUUAGAAGAUAAUAGGGAAUGAGAGGACUAAAGUAAUUUCUGCUAUCUUUGCCUUGUAAUGCUACUUUAAACAUAUCCCUUCUUCUCCUCUCCUCUAUAAGGUUUUAGUUACUAGAUGGUAAAGUGGUGUUGAAAUUUCUGAAUAAAGUAGAAGGUAAAUCUCCAGCAUAAUUUGUCAAAGUUCUUCCAUGAAAAGAGCUUCCAUCAAAGCUUUUUGUUUUUGACAUCUCUAGUCCUGAGUGAGCAUAAGGUGCCCACAUUUAACUUUGAAAUGUUAAAACAAAAUGAGUCCAAAUCAACCUCCUAAAACAUUAUUGUAGGUAAAAGUAGUUUGAUUGCCCAAGUAAAAAGGUUCAAUAAUGGAACUUAGUCUUCCAUCUUAGGAGGUAUACAUUGACUCCAUGUAAAGAAAGAAACCUUCACUUUCUGUUCAUAUGUCGUUGGAUGGAAACAACCUGAAUGUGAAGACAAAUUGGUAGCAGACAGAUUUUCUGAAUGUUUAAAUUACUAAUUAAAUAAUACAAGGGGGAUAAUAAACCAGCUAAGGCCUCCAAAGUGCCGUGUUUGUUUUCAAAGAAAAGUCAUUGUACUAAAAUACAGCACUGGAAAUUUGAAUAGGGAAGACUUAUCCUCAAUUUCUUAACAUGCAGAAGUUUGUGGAACCCGCAAUCCCCAGUCCCACCACCCACACAACCCCUAACCCAAAAGAAAAGUUUUUACGUGCAUAAAAUUGCAGAGAAAUCAGAAAAGGCUACAACAUAAUCUCAAGAAAGAACAAAGUUACUAUUUCGUCCCCAAUAGAUCGACAGACAUAAUCAAAGUCAUAACUUCUUCAUUCUACAUUUUACAGGAUCAAGCGAUCUGACUUAAAUGAAAUGCCCAAAAAGAAAAUGAUUUAAGCAAAUUGAUGCACACAUUCAACAUUAAAUUUCUUAGGACAUUGUGUUUAAUUCUUCAAAGGAUAGAAUUUUAUGCAACAUGUUUCCCCUUCCCCAAAAUUUCUCAUCCACCAUUACAUCUGGAAAUCACUUUGAUACAUGAAUUCCUAGUAUCUAGAGGAUAGAUAUUAUGCGUCCUAUUCCUUUUCCCUGAAAUUCUCACCCACCAUUACCUCAUGCAACCACCUUGAUAUGUGAAUUCCUAGUAAUGUUAACUUAGCACCUAAAUGCAAUUCUUCAGAGUUUGUGCAAGAUUUACUAAGGUCCUCACACAUACAAUUCCUCAUCAAUUCUUUACACUGUUAAGUUGUCAUGAAGCUUUUGUGAAAAAGGAUGUUCUGCAUACAUAUCGAAGGCAAUAGUGAAUGCACGCCUAUAUCACAUGCAUUUCUUCUCCCAAGUUCGAGUUGAAAGUUAAACAAGGAAAUAAUACUUAUAUAUAACUACCAGACAAAGCAUAUCUAUUGCAAUUGCUUUCAGCAUGACUUUUAUGUUGUUAUACGGCACAAACAUGUAUAACAAGAGAACCCUACUUGUUAUUGAAAAUUCAAGACCCAAAUAAUCUAGUUGUAGUAGUUAUGAUCAACAAUGGCAGAAUAAAUACUUAAACCAGAGGGAGAUAGUCUCAAAUCCAAAUAGUAAGGGUAUAUGAAAAAUUUCCAAAUAUUUCAGAUUAUUUACUUUCAUAUGAGAUAGAGGGAAAAGAAAACACAAAAAGAAAGCAGUACAAAACUAAAUAAUUACUUGCUACCAGAUUAAAGUGAUAAGGGAGAAAAAUCAGGGGGAUUGUUAAAAAUGCAAAACAUACUGAAAAUGUCCAAAAGAAUGUAUCAAAGGCAUCGUUUUCAUCAGUACGCACACCGUUAUUUCUUUCACAUCAUAUAUUGUUGCUAGCACAAAUAAAUUAGUCACUAUAUCACAAGCCUCCUGUUACUAAGAAUAACUAUACAUAUGAAAGAGCCAUCAAACCUUCUUUUAGAGCCAGAGCUAUAUGGUCCAACACCAAGCCUCAGUUCUGCCAAGGCUCUUUUCUCUUCAUUUCGAGAAGCAUGGUCAAAACUUCUGUACAGUCCAAUACCAAGCCUGAGUUCCGAAAUGGCUCUUUUCACUUCAUUUUGAGAAGACUGGUCAGAACUCUUAAGUAUUGGAUUGAGACUAAUAGGUUCAAACACUUCCUUAAAUAUUUUCUCUCGAUCCAUUUGAUGAUAUGAAAGCACGGUGUGAAGGCAAAGAAGAUUCAGAUGAAUAAGGAGGCAUUUGCUAGUAAAACACUUGGAAAUCAAUUUAUUUCAACAUCUUGAUAUGAAUAACAUGAUCGAGGUAUAUAGUGAUUUUGGAGUACCAAAAGGUUUACCACAAUCCACUGCAAGAGUAAAUGAAAGCCAGGUUCCAAUAGUUUCCUUUGUCGCUACACCAUCCUAGGCAACCUUCUCUUUGGAAAAGUCAACGCUAGUAAAUACUCAAUCUUUAAGUGCAAUUGUCGUUCGUGAUCAGUAACUUCCCGAAAACAUGAGUUGGGAAGAAAAUAUUAAUGAGGUGGUUACACAAGGAAUCACUUUAAGAUCUUUCCCUAGAUAGGUAUCACUUUAAGAGUUGAUAUUACAUAAAAAAUUAUCAAUGAAUCGCAACUGCAACUCACAUUAAUACAAAACACAAUGAGAAAACAAAGUCAGAAUUUCAUUUGCCAUCACGUAUAUUUGUUCGUAAGCUGCAAAAACUGUUACUACUUCAUGAGCUACUUGACAGACAGAUUGCAACCCAAUCACUGUCAGUCCAGUACCUAGCAUGAUUUGGUAUCUAUUAUGAGAAUACACAAUCACAGGUAAAAGAUCUUGUAUCACUUCCACUGAUCAAGAUCUUAUCUUAAGUCAACUUUUGCUCUAUGAUUUCCUAGAGGCAAUUCUGUGAGGUACUUCAAAACACUAAGUUUAGAAUCAAACUAAUUUCUUAAAUAAUUGCCAAAAUCCCAGUCAUCCAGCCUAGUAGUAUUCUGAUAAGAAAAAAAAGAAAAUCACAAGAUCCUAUUCUGAUAAGAAAAAAAAGAAAAUCACAAGAUCCCCUUCGAAUACCUCAACACGGUGAUUCAUCAAAAAUAACAAUCUCAACGAUAUAUAACUUACAUAAAAAAUGCAUCCGUAUAUGUGAUCUUCUUGAGUCAAUGGAAACUACAUUUUACAGGCGUAUUGUAUUCAUAGACACGAUAAAGGUAUAUCAAUAAAUCAGUGAAAAAGUUUUACCACUAAGUACACAUUUAUGCUCGAGUGUGCUCGAUUCUUUCUAAUGUAGCAUGCAGAGUGAUUGAAGAAUUAUUACUACUACUACUACUAAUGGGGAUAGGCAGUCAGGAGCUCAACCCCUAACCUCCUGCAUUGUGGAGCAGGCAUCCGACCACUUGGCUACCAGCUGAAUGGCAUGCGGAUGAUUGAACCUUAACAUCGCAUGAAAAAAUUUAUGGAAUCAUCCUUCAUCAGAAAUACUAUCAGUUUAAAGUACUAGGAAUGAAAAAAAUUUAUGGAUCAUCCUUCAUCAGAAAUACGCUAUCAGUUUAAAGUACAAUUAUUAACUACAAUUUUCUACUUCAUGACUGCCUAUGCACACUUAUUUUCCUUUUCUUACUAGCACAUAAUUGCAGAACUUAAAUACAGGAUAGCAUCGGUUGAAAGUGGAAUUUUUAUUAACAAAAUCUUAGGGACAUCAUCCAACUAGCUGACAUGGCCAACUCAAGAUUUUGGCAAGAUGUAAUAGGAUGUUUCCAUUACAGCGAGAGAUGAUCUCUAUACCAGGGAUGUGAUUUUGCUGCCUGAGCUGGAUUAUACAUUCUAACCAUGUCUUCUCUGGCGUGCUUAUUUGACCAAAAUCCUAACUUUUAACUCGAUCACUACGAUACAGUUUCUGAGAUUCCCACUCUUCACUCAUGAUGCAACUUGAUAACACUCAAUUAUACAACUUAGACAUAGCAGGAGAAGCAGCACCAUACACACUAUCCAGCAUUUGGCAUCUCAAUACCAAUUCAUUUACAAGAAGGUCACUACUUAAAUGUUGAUGAUGGUAAAAUGUGUGCUCCAUUGUGGAAAUCUCUUUUCUAGCAUAGAGCUCUUCUCAAGUUGACAAACUGUUCGACUAAGAAUGAACAACCCCUUUUUAUCCUGGGUCAGUCCGCAAUAUCUACACUACUCCUAAGCUAAGGAGAGGGCUCAACUGGGCCAAGGUGGGCUAAGUGAGCAACUUGCAUUCCAGUAAUUUAGGCAGUUGUCAAAAAUACAGAAACAAGGGGGAAAAAAAAGUGCAAUAAAUCUUUCUAUUAUCGCGAGAUUAUUGCAAGUAGUCCAGAAAGGGAACGCUUCCUCAGAAACUAUCCCAUAAUACCCAUCUAAUUCUGUAUCCAUGAAGAAAUGGUGUAAACAGAAGACGCCGAAGAAGUAUACAAGUAACUAAGCAAAAGUUGGAGCAUGCAGCUUGUACCACAAGCCAAUAACAAAACAAGAAUUCGAUAAGCAUAAAAACUAUAGUUAAUUCAAGCCCAGAUAUACUGACAACGAUUACUUGUACAAAAAGGAGGAUAACAACAAACCUGGAAUCGCUAAUGUCAGAUUGACAAUCAACCAUCCAAGUUAAAGCUGUAAUAUUUAGUUUUCAGAGUGGAAAUAGCAGAGAAUUAGUGAGGCAUUUUUUACAAGAUAAAGGAAACUUUCAAGAAGGUUUCUCAAGAGGAUUAAGAUUGUCAGGAGGGUUACUUUGUAUUCGUGGUUGAUCGUGAAUUUGACGUAGAUUUUUGGGAUUCUUGAAUCCAGUAGUAGAGUUCCCUGGAAUGGGAAGCUGGCAUUUUUUGGGGCAUCAGCAGCAUUCAACAAUGGACUCGUGCAAGUGGAAAGAGCAUGUCGUAUCUGCUGAUCUGGCUCUCCAUUGACGAAAUUUCGGGUCGACCAAUAGUACCAUCCCAGGAGUUCAUAGCCAAACACAGACCAAUUCCAUUUUUUUCCCACACGAUGAUAUUCUUAAUAUUAAUUAUUUUUUAGGCAAUAACUUCUAUUAAUUUAUCCUACCAAAGAAACUGAACUCUUGAUUUUUUUUUAUUUUUACUUGGAAAAAAUUAAAAUUUAGAUUUUGCUGGAAUUUUACUACUUGUUUCUCCCUUGAAUUAAAAAAAAAAACUUUUUCCUAACUUUUUUUUUAAAGUACAACACUAGUCCUAUACGAAGAGUAUAGGGAGGGAAUGGGGAUAAACCCAACAAAAUUAUUGAGAAUUCAGAAGAAAGUAAAGUACGUCCAUUUUCAAUAAUUCUAAAGAAGAAAUAUAGGCAAGGAAUUUUGAAUUCCAUACAUACUAAUACUCAUACAGAGUAAUUUUUAGAUGGGAUGAACACAGCUAAUUCCUUCAAGGGCACAUAAAAAAUGGUGUGUACACAAGUAGCCUCGGUCAGGGAUCCAGCCGCACUGCUCCUAAAAGCUUAAGCUGUUAGGGCCAGCUUCCCCCUAACUUAAGUACCGUAGCCACUCCUAGCCAACCUUCGAUGUGGGACUACCAAGAUUUGUAAAAUCGGGAUCCUACGUAGGAUCGAUUUUAAUUUCACAGAAUCGGAUUGUAGGAUCGUAAGAUCUCACCAAAAGUUUCUAAAUUUACUAAAUUAAUGAAUUUCAGAUUCAUAUACCAUUUUGUAUAUUUUAAAAGAUAUCAAAUAAAUAAGUUACUCAUAAAUAUAUAGUAUUUUUUACUUACUAUCUGAUAAGUAAUAAAUAUAUAGCAUUUUUCUUUUCACAGUUAUAGCCAUUGCAAAGUAAUACUAUGAGAAAAGCCAGACUAAAUGUUGAUUUGAGCUGAAAAUUUAGAAGAAAUUAGAUUUUUCAAACUUGUUAACAAAAAGUUCAAAAGCAUACGUCCACACGGCAGCCCAUCUUUCUGGUCCAAAUAGGAAAAUCUGGGCAAUUAAUGCACCUUUCUAGCUUAAGAACAAAAAUAAAGGCCAAGAAAUCAUAAGUUCGAGUGACACCCAAUAUUUUUCGGCUGAAGGAAUGUGCUUUAAGGAAUGAACUUCUUGGACACAAAGUCACCUUACAACCUUGUCUAAGAAGAAGAAAAAGUUAUCUGCCGAAAUAAAGUUUUCAAGAUAUCAGAAACUCAAUCUUGCAUGAAAUGCUUAGCUAUUGCAAUCAAUAGCAAGCAAACAAUAAUCUAUGUGAGUUGAAGCACUCUUGUAACAAUGAAGGUUGGUUGGUUGGAGCUGCAGCGGUGGAGAAGAAGUGAAAACUGAAAAAUGAAGGUUGAAAUGAAGAAUGAAGAAACGAGUCAACGACAGAUGACUGAGUAGAGGAGAAGAAUAGGAGCUUUUUUGACUUUUUGAGAAAAAAAUUGUUACAAAAUUACAAUUCUUUGAUAAAUUACAAACCUACCACAAAUUUUUUCAUUUACUUGCAAAAUGGAGUCUCGUAUUUCACAAAUUUGCAAAAAAUUAUAGGAUCGUACGAUCCUAUGUAGAUUAAUACAAUUUGCGACUCUGAAUAUGAUUCGGAUCGAUUUUGAUUAUCCGGCGAUCCGGAUCGCAAUUUUGACAACACUGGGGACUACUUUUUCCCCUUCUUGGUGCAUCUUGCAUUGGGUACUAUUUCACCCCCACCGAAGGUCUGGCUCUAAUACCACAAGUAGCCUCGACCAAGGAUCCAACUGCACUGCUCCUAAAAGCUUAAGCUGUUAGGGCCAGCCUCCCCCUGACUUAAGUACCAUGACCACUCAUAAUCAACCUACCUCUUAUUAAACCUUUGUUAAGAUUUUUGAACUUUACCCUAGAAAAUGAAUAAUUGACCCUCUAAAAACAAAACCUCCACCCUCUAAAAAAGAAAAAGAAAGAAUGGUUAAUUUGCCUACUUUACAAGAGAAUCAAUCUUAAAUCAAGUUAACUUGAAAAUAAAUUUUAAAGUUAAUCUCAUACAUUGACAAUACAUACACGUUAACGAGUAUGAAUGCAUAUCACUUAUUCAUUGGUUUUUGAUUAAUAAAAUUAGGAGCCAGCUUCCUCGUGCACGAGGUUUACGGCUAAAAAAAUAUAUACUUAUAAAAGUCACUUAUUCAUAAAUGGAAAUUGAAUUAUCGGCCGGUCAAUGUUUACCAUGUGAGUUUUAUCUCAAAUUUUUUAUCCUAGAUUCCGAGUAGAAAUUUCAAUAGCAAACGGCGUCGUUGGGAGUUGCCGUUUGACGGUUCCCCUUGCUAGCAUUUCCUAGGGACAGCGCUGUCGUUUUGGUUUUCUGCGCUAUUCUCUGUGUCACUUCCCUCCAUAUUUUCUGCAGCAGCUAUCGAACCAGCAGAAAUCCUCCGCCAUGGAAACUACAAAAUUCGAGGGCUGUUGAGCGCCAUAAAUUGUAGUAGAAAGGAAGUUCUGGUAAAAGAAAAAAUAUAUAAUGAAGAUAGUGACGUACAACAUAAACGGCUUAAGGCCUCGCAUCUCCCAGUUCGGCUCCCUGCGUAAGCUUCUCGAUUCCCUCGACGCCGAUAUCAUCUGUUUUCAGGAGACCAAGAUCUCCAAACAAGAACUAAGAGCCGAUUUAGUUAGAGCUGAUGGUUAUGAAUCUUUCUUUUCUUGCAAUCGCAACUUCGACAAAUCCCGCGCUGGUUAUUCUGGUACUGACCCCACGUUUUCCUAUAGUGUGUUCACUGGUACUAAAUUCGGAAGUCCAGAAUAAAAGAGAUGAAGAUUUUAGACAUGGGAUUUUGUGAAAGUUUUUAUCUUUAUGCUGAAUAUUGGAAAUUCAAUGGUUUCUUAUUUUAGCAAUUGCGCCAUUUAAUUUGCUUGUGAGUUUUUCUUUUGCUAUGCACAGGUGUUGCGACAUUUUGUCGAGUGAAGUCUGCAUUUUCGAGUGACGAGGUGGCGUUGCCAGUUGCUGCAGAGGAGGGCUUUACUGGGCUUCUUGAGAGUCCUCGAGUAACCGGACCUCAAAAAGAUGAAUGCUCUUCAGCUUUAGAAGGGCUUGAGGAGUUCUCUAGAGAUGAGCUUUUGAAAGUUGACAGUGAGGGGCGAUGUGUCAUCACUGAUCAUAGCCAUUUUGGUAAACUAGCAAGCUUUUGUUACUGGCUAAAAAAAAAAAAAUAUCUGUAUUGCCCCAGUGGCUUAAGGUUGUUUGAUGUGUGGAGCUCUUUCCUAUUUAGUAUCUAUGUUUAUUUUGUCUGGCUUUCUCUGAAUUGACUAAAAAAUUCAGGAGUAUAUGAAUAUUCGAAAAAUGAUAAUAUUGUUGAAGUACGGCUUGAUAACUGGAUUUUGCAGUUCUUUUCAAUGUGUAUGGGCCUCGAGCUGAUUGUGAUGAUACAGAAAGAAUUCAAUUUAAGGGCAUAUUUUUUAAGAUAAUACAGGUAUUUUUUAAAACUUUUUUCCUUCUCCAUUAGAAUGAAUGAUUCAACAAAGUAUUAAAUUUCUGAAGCUAGAUCUAUUUUUCAUUGAUAGUUUAGAUGUAAAGGCAAAGGCAUUUUGGGGGAAAUGCUCUUUUACGGUUAUGCAACACAUUUUUAGCUGUACAAUGAGAUUGUAUGAGCCUAGUAUUUCAGGGGAAAAAAAGGUGACAUGUUAAUAUUCCCAUGCUUCAUGCUUUACUCUCUUGGAGUCACACUGGGUGUUCAGGCUAAUUGCUUUUUGCAUACAUAUUCGAGCUGGUUGUGCACUACGGAAAUCAUUGAAAGUUCAAAUUCUUCUUCUUAUGUUCAAGAUUUAUAAACUCUCUGAAGUUGGAAACUAUGCUGUUGACUUGGUUACCAUACCAUGUGAUUUCUAAAAGGGAAUCGGGGAAGGUAGUUCUGGAUCUGGCAUGUUGUUAUGUAUCUAUCUGCUGUUGUUUGGUUAAGUUCUAGGAUUUUGCCCUUUUGCAUUGGAAUUCCUGGUCUCAUGAGAUGCAAUGUUUUGUGAAAUAGAAUGUUGGGUCACUGGAAAAGAAGCACAGCAAAUUAACUGGGUGUUAACAAUGAAAUGUAUUAGAACUGUUUCAGUCAAUAUCUUUGGAGAUUUGGCUUGGCUUUUUCCUUAGCCAAUACUUUUGAAGUUAAACUCUAUGUUGGUUAUGACAUUGAUUGUGAAAUCUCUGGCGUGUUUAACUAAAAGUAUAGAUGCUCAUUGAAAUCGAGGAUUUGGUGAGAUAUGUCACCCAGAGUAUUCCUCCAAUUCCACCCAACUUCCUACCUCUGCAGCGGCAACCAUUUAAGAUUUCCUUCUUGUGUCUAAGAAGGUUAUAGAUAAUGUCUUUGAUGGAUUAUAGUAUGACUAACUUGUGGUGAUAGGAAUUAUUACUGUUAGAUGUGUAAGCUUCAAACUCUUUGAUUCAUGUUAGCAAUUUCCUUUUAGAGAAGAUGGGAAUGUCUUCUACAUCAAGGACGGCGAGUAUUUGUUGUUGGGGACCUCAACAUUGCUCCUACUGCGAUUGAUCGUUGUGAUGCUGGACCAGAUUUUGAGAAUAAUGAGUAAGCAAUUCUUUAGUUCUCAACUUACUUGUAGGUUUUGCCAUCACAAUGUACUUUUUUGAGUUAAUGUGUAUUUUCAUUGAUUGCAAUUUUUUUCUCACAGGUUUCGGAGGUGGUUUAGAUCUUUGUUGGUGGAAAAUGAAGGACAAUUUGUCGAUGUUUUCAGAACAAAGCAUCCUGACAGGUUCAUUUUGUUGAUUCCUUUAGUUUUUUUUUGUUCUUUCCUCUUGAAGAAAUGUGUUUGAAAUGAUGAAGAUUUUCAUUCUUUGGGAAUUAUACGUAUGAGAUGAUUUUGGUCUUCAAAAAAUGUUCUUAAGAAUUUAUGAAUGUAGAUGUUCUCAAAGUGAUAUUUGUGUUUGAAAUGAUGAAGAUUUUCAUUCUUUGGGAAUUGUAUACGUAUGAGAUGAUUUUGUCUUCAAAAAAUUAUUCUUAAGAAUUUAUGACUGUAGAUGUUCUCCAAGUGAUAUACUGUCAGUCAAGUUAUUUAUUAAGUUUAACUGUCUAGGGUAUAAUUUCAAUUCUAUGAUUCUCUGAUUACUCAUUAUACUUUCCAAGUGAGUUUUAUUCUUUUUGUUUUUUCGUGGAUUUUGAUUUCAAAUCACUGUGCAGAAGAGAAGCCUACACAUGCUGGCCAACAAAUACAGGUGCUGAGGAGUUUAACUUCGGGGCAAGGAUUGACCAUAUUCUUAUUUCUGGAUCAUGCUUACAUGAAGAGUCAGGUCAGGAAGAGCAUAACUUUGUAAGUUGCCAUGUUGAGGACUGUGAGAUUUUGAUCCAAUUCAAGCGGUGGAAACCUGGAAACACACCCAGGUACUAUUGAUUUUCUUGGAUUUAAGUGGAUGAAGAAAUUAUAAUUAUUGUCAUGGAAAUUUGUAAAUUACCUUUUCAAGAAGUGUAGUUAGUUUGGCUGUACAAGCAUAAAUUAUCGUUAGGCAUGCUUAUGUGUCUCAAUUAUUUUGCAUUAUUGUCCGGAUUCAAUAUGUAAAAUUGUUCUCAUCUCUAUUGGUAGGUGGAAAGGAGGAAGAAGCAUUAAAUUGGAAGGUUCGGACCAUGUUCCUGUCUGUGUGAGUUUGGAAGAAAUCCCUAGUGUUCCACCACAUGGUGCUCCUUCAUUAUCUACUAGAUACUGCCCCCAGGUCUACGGAUGUCAGCAAACACUAGGUAUGAGUUUCCUAUUGUACACAGGAAUUGCUUAUCUGGAUGUCACGAGAUUGGUUUCACUUCUGGAAAUCCAUUUACCAUGUCUUUUUUUUGUUUUUUUUGUCACUAUCUAGUAGUCUUCCAUUUCCAUAAGCAAUAUGUUUUAAUGAUUAUACUAAGGUUUUUUUUUUUCUAGUUUGAAUUUUAAACUGAAGAUUAUUGAUGUUGCAUUACCAUUAGUGAGAAAACUUUUGAAUUUUGAACUGAAGAUUGUAGAUGUAGCAUUACUGUGGGUGAGCUAAUGCUGUGCUGGGAUAUUAUACUGCAGUGUCGAUGUUAACAAGGAAACAAUCGGCUGAGAGUUUUAAGAAUUCUGAAGAGUCAAGCUCAUUUUUAGGUACAUCAGAUGGACCAACUUUAUACAUUCUUUGUGGGAUAUUAUUCUGAUGCACCAUUUUUCUUGAUAUAUGACUGUUAAACUUUAGUACAGAAGCUCAUGACUGCUCUGAAGGCUCAGCACGUCAGCGUUCCUGUAGCACAACUUUUUGUUUGGGUAGCAAUCUUGCAAAAGCAGGGCCUCACGUGGAAACCAGGAAGAAAGCAAGACAAAGUCAGUGGUCUCAGCUCUCACUCAAAUCAUUCUUCCAGAAAAGUUCCAGUCACAGUGAGACUUUUGCGAGAUCCACCAAUGACAUCAAGCUUAGUAGGACAGAUGUCUCUGCUUCUUUCUGUUGUUCCAACAGCUCCCCAGUACACGUUGAAGUGAGUAGCAACCCAAAGGAUUGCAUAGCAGAUGUCUCUGCAUCCAGUCCAGCAGACAAUGGGUGUGAUACAAUAGCAGACUGCCAACUUUCAGUAAAAGAAAAGUCUAAUGUUGCCUUAUUGGAGUGGCAAAGGAUACAACAGCAUAUGCAGAACAGUAUACCUCUUUGCAAGGGCCAUAAUGAACCUUGCGUUGCUCGAGUUGUGAAGAAAGCUGGCCCUAACUUGGGCCGCAGAUUUUAUGUCUGCGCUCGCGCUGAGGUAUAGAAAGUUGGUUCUUAGUCUGUCUUGAGCUUGCAGUUUGUACACUUAUUCAUCGUCUCAAAGAAUUUUGCUGCUGCUAAAUUACGAAGAUAAGAAUUCCCUUGUCAAAUUAAAUAAAGAAAGAAAAUUUGCUCCUUGUUGAUAGUUUUAUGCAUUUGAUGUUGAUAUGGCAUUCGAAAUUAUUAUAAUGGAUUGAGCAAUGCUAGAGAAAUUCUCCACUUGAUUCAUCUGUCUGUAUAACAGACUUCUAGAUCUUCUAAAUUCCCAAUUUUAGGAACAAUCUUAGAUUUAUCAUUGUUGUCAUUGCCUCUAGUUUUUCAAUUUCAUGUUCUUUUAGAUUUUUAGGCUUAAUUUCACUGCUGGAGAUUUUAGCUGUUCUCACCUUGCCUAUUGUCUAUGCUGAAAAUAGAAGGAAGUAUAUGGCUCUCUCUCUCUUUCAAUCACACGCUUUCUCGGUUUCCAGUUUCUUGAUUGGGCUACACAGGUUCACGUAGAUUAAUAUUUUUGUCGUGGAGAAAUUGUGCUGAAAAGUGAGAGUCUAUGUGAUCCUUUUGGUUUAACUUAUUACCAAGAAUAUGUCAUUUCCCUUCUUUCAAAAUGCUGCUUUAUUCAUUCAGGGGCCUGCAUCUAAUCCUGAAGCAAACUGUGGGUAUUUUAAGUGGGCUGCUUCAAAUUCCAAGCACAAACGGUGAUGUUGACUGAACUCGUGGUCAGGCUGUGUCGAGAAUGAAACCGUCUUAACAUUUGCUUAUUCUUCACUGCCUUACUGAUGAAGUUCCAAGUAUCAGGUACGAUUCAAGUGAUAUUGAUUUAGAUUUCAAAUUCAACAUGUUUCUGGCAUGCUUAAUGUCUCUGAACUUCUACUCUGAACUUUAAAUUACAGGAUUCUGCUUCCCUGUAGGAUCUUGUACCAUCAUCUUUUUGAGAGAAAAAUCAACUUAGAAUUUGUCCUCUUCCAUACCGGAUCAAGAUUUCAUGUUGGUUUAUUUAUUAGUGAAGAUUGAAGUUUUAGAGUUCUUGAAUUCAAAUCUUACCAGAUUGUAUAUAGUAUUUGUGUUAUGCUACCAAGUGAUGGGGAACUGGAGAUUCAAUUGAAUCUCUUCUAUUGGUUCCAUAAAUAUGAAUCUAGACGUUUUUGGUACUCUAAUCUGUUGUUCUCAGAAAAGGGGAAAAGGAGAAGAAUAGAGCUGCUUCACGUUCUUAGUAACGAAAUAAGUAGACAGAGAGAACUGUAGAGUGUAAUCACAUAAAAAGCCAUAAUAAUGUUUACAUAAUAAUAAUGUGAACUGGGGCAAUUAUUAUUAUUAUUAUUUUUUUGUGCUGCACUGUCAAUAUGAAAAACACAAUCGAUAUUGGAUAUAUGUCAUGCAAUCUAAUUUCAAAUCUAAAAUUCAAUUAUUACACACAUUUAUCUAUAACUAUUAGUAAAACUUGACGGUGUAUAAAAAAUUAAUCCAAUAGCGAUGAUAUUACAUUAGUGCAUGUUGACAUUAGCGUAUAUCAAACAUAAUCCUCCGAGGAUGAUGUAGCCGUCCAUCACAAGAUUGCUUAAACGAAUCAAUGAACCUGUCUUCUUGUCGUGGAAUACAAUAAAAUGUCUCCAUCAAGAUUGCAUUAGAUUGCUAGUCCAUUACGAUCGGUACGCAUAAUUAAAAAGAGCUGCAGCCGGACAGGGCUAAAAUUUGAGUAGCAAUCAAUCCGGUCAGAUUCACCAGAGAAAAAGCAAAACAAUAAAUGAUUUUACCAAAAAUAAGUGUCUGUGCAGCACGUUGGUGUAUACUACUACACCAAAUUUGUAGUUGUGGAUGCAAAUUUGGAAACGUUAACUUCUCUAAUUUCAUAUUGUCUUCUACAGACAAUUUCAUCCCAAGUUAAAUCAAAUCACUACCAUGUUUAAGAUAGACCCCCUCCCCUACAUUCUGCCAAAUUUGAUGUUGCAGUGUACUGAACUUCUCUAAAACUGAGUGCGCUACAGCUAAGAUAAAAGAUCGUAGAUCAAACAGGGCACGAUCUUUUUACUCUUGGAGGUACACACCACAUCACAUCUAAAGCGUCUCUUGGAGUUGGAGGCUAUUUCUUCUGUCUCCAGCUUCUUCUCGUCAAUUUCUUCCAGAUAGAUUCACGCGCACUUUAAUUACACCCUUGAUGAAGGAGGGAUUCGUCACUAAUUAAUUCGACUCCAUCUACUUUACAUGAAUCGUUCAAUUCAUGAGAGGCGCUCGCUUUUCUUUCUCUUCGAUUUUCUGUUUUUCUGGCAUAAAUGGUGUAAUAGUACGGACAGGUUUCGGAUGGGUCCUUCGCUUUCUUUGUAGCCAC